CGAAGUAAAGCUGAUAUAGAAUAGCGUCUCACUUACAUUGAGAAGAAUUAUCGUGCAAAUCGAUUUGCUUUGA
rnacentral:tRNA from 3 species